CCCCACUGCUAUCGGGAUGGGACUAAGACAUGCUAGUCGAGCGUCUCCAAGCUAUGGAAGAGACGCGGCACACAGCUCAGUAACACGUGGCUAACCUGCCCUUGGGACAAGGACAACUCCGGGAAACUGGGGCUAAUCCCCGAUAGGAGAAGACACCUGGAAGGGGUCUUUUCCCAAAAGGCGCUUAGAUCAUGCUUCUAGACGUCGCUCAAGGACGGGGCCGCGGCCGAUCAGGUUGUUGGUGAGGUAAUGGCUCACCAAGCCUAUAACCGGUACGGGCCGUGAGAGCGGGAGCCCGGAGAUGGGCACUGAGACAAGGGCCCAGGCCCUACGGGGCGCAGCAGUUGCGAAAACUCCGCAAUGCACGAAAGUGUGACGGGGCUACCCCGAGUGCCGUCCGCUGAGGGCGGCUUUUCCCCGGUGUAAGGAGCCGGGGGAAUAAGGAGAGGGCAAGUCUGGUGUCAGCCGCCGCGGUAAUACCAGCUCUCCGAGUGGUAGGGAUGAUUAUUGGGCUUAAAGCGUCCGUAGCUGGCCUAGCAAGUCUUCCGUUAAAUCCACCGAUUCAAUCGUUGGACUGCGGGAGAUACUGUUGGGCUAGGGGGCGGGAGAGGCCGACGGUAUUCUCGGGGUAGGGGUAAAAUCCUAUAAUCCCGGGAGGACCACCAGUGGCGAAGGCGGUCGGCUAGAACGCGCUCGACGGUGAGGGACGAAAGCUGGGGGAGCGAACCGGAUUAGAUACCCGGGUAGUCCCAGCUGUAAACGAUGCGGGCUAGGUGUUGGGGCGGCUACGGGCCGCUUCAGUGCCGCAGGGAAACCAUUAAGUCCGCCGCCUGGGGAGUACGGCCGCAAGGCUGAAACUUAAAGGAAUUGGCGGGGGAGCACCACAAGGCGUGAAGCUUGCGGUUU
rnacentral:rRNA from 1 species